GACGAGCGCUGGCGGCGUGCCUAAUACAUGCAAGUUGAGCGCUGAAGGUUGGUACUUGUACCAACUGGAUGAGCAGCGAACGGGUGAGUAACGCGUGGGGAAUCUGCCUUUGAGCGGGGGACAACAUUUGGAAACGAAUGCUAAUACCGCAUAAAAACUUUAAACACAAGUUUUAAGUUUGAAAGAUGCAAUUGCAUCACUCAAAGAUGAUCCCGCGUUGUAUUAGCUAGUUGGUGAGGUAAAGGCUCACCAAGGCGAUGAUACAUAGCCGACCUGAGAGGGUGAUCGGCCACAUUGGGACUGAGACACGGCCCAAACUCCUACGGGAGGCAGCAGUAGGGAAUCUUCGGCAAUGGACGAAAGUCUGAACGAGCAACGCCGCGUGAGUGAAGAAGGGUUUCGGAUCGUAAAACUCGGUUGGUAGAGAAGAACGUUGGUGAGAGUGGAAAGCUCAUCAAGUGACGGUAACUACCCAGAAAGGGACGGCUAACUACGUG
rnacentral:rRNA from 1 species